UACAGAGGUCUCAAGCGUUGUUCGGAUUCAUUGGGCGUAAAGGGUGCGUAGGUGGCGCGGUAAGUCGGGUGUGAAAUUUCGGAGCUUAACUCCGAAACUGCAUUCGAUACUGCCGUGCUUGAGGACUGGAGAGGAGACUGGAAUUUACGGUGUAGCAGUGAAAUGCGUAGAGAUCGUAAGGAAGACCAGUGGCGAAGGCGGGUCUCUGGACAGUUCCUGACGCUGAGGCACGAAGGCCAGGGGAGCAAACAGG
rnacentral:rRNA from 1 species